rnacentral:tRNA from 1 species
UGGAUAGCUCAGCCAGUAGAGCAUGAGAUUAUUGAUCUCAAGGUUGUGAGUUCAAGCCCCACAUUGGGAAAAA